GCACCAGUGGCGGAAUUGGCAGACGCGCAGCGUUCAGGUCGCUGUUUGAUUUUUCAAGUGCGAGUUCGAAUCUCGCCUGGUGCA
rnacentral:tRNA from 2 species